rnacentral:piRNA from 1 species
UAAAGAAAUAAAAUGUUCUGUUGGGUCCA